rnacentral:rRNA from 1 species
GAUGAACGCUGGCGGCGUGCCUAAUACAUGCAAGUCGAGCGAACAGACGAGGAGCUUGCUCCUCUGACGUUAGCGGCGGACGGGUGAGUAACACGUGGAUAACCUACCUAUAAGACUGGGAUAACUUCGGGAAACCGGAGCUAAUACCGGAUAAUAUAUUGAACCGCAUGGUUCAAUAGUGAAAGACGGUUUUGCUGUCACUUAUAGAUGGAUCCGCGCCGCAUUAGCUAGUUGGUAAGGUAACGGCUUACCAAGGCAACGAUGCGUAGCCGACCUGAGAGGGUGGUCGGCCACACUGGAACUGAGACACGGUCCAGACUCCUACGGGAGGCAGCAGUAGGGAAUCUGCCGCAAUGGGCGAAAGCCUGACGGAGCAACGCCGCUUGAGUGAUGAAGGUCUUCGGAUCGUAAAACUCUGUUAUUAGGGAAGAACAAAUGUGUAAGUAACUAUGCACGUCUUGACGGUACCUAAUCAGAAAGCCACGGCUAACUACGUG